rnacentral:rRNA from 1 species
UACGGAGGGUGCGAGCGUUGUCCGGAAUCAUUGGGCGUAAAGGGCGCGUAGGCGGUUCGUUAAGUCGGAUGUGAAAGCCCUCGGCUCAACUGAGGAAGUGCACCCGAAACUGGCGAGCUUGAGUACGAAAGAGGAUCGCGGAAUUCCCGGUGUAGAGGUGAAAUUCGUAGAUAUCGGGAGGAACACCGGUGGCGAAGGCGGCGAUCUGGGUCGAUACUGACGCUGAGGUGCGAAAGCGUGGGGAGCGAACAGG